CGCUAUCACACUUGCUGCUCCACCCGCUGGUCCCCGCCAUGCCCGGGCUGCGGUCACACCUGUGGAGGAUGACCAGGCGGCCCGGUGCGCGCCCAUGCGUGGCUGCAGGUGCACCUGCCAGGCUCUGGCUGAGCUUGGGCGGUGCUCCACCAGUGAAACUUCUGCUCCGGUAGCCGAGGCAGGAGCAACAGCGGUGCUGGGACCUCUGCUUCUGCCAGUGGCUGCGAAGCCUUGGUGGGGACCACCUGUGAGAUCCAUUCCGGCCACAGGCAGUGAAGUGGCCGGCAGAGGGGCAGAGACGACCGAGGAAAGGCCGGAAGUGGGUAGAGGUGGCUGCUACCCGUCCUGAUGCCCAGCAUCUCUCUCCGGCCCCGAUGUGAAGCUUAUGGCAGGGUGACUGCCCAAUGACUCGGACACCCUGGUCUCCGAAGAUUGAUCCUGGCAGGCUCCCCUCGCCUCCUCUCCUCCAACAGCUCAUAACUCGCCACCCUCGCACGCCCAGGUAGCUGGACGCCAACCCAGUGGUUUGAGUGGGGAGUCUCCAUUCCACCUGCUCGGACUGGGCUCUGCAGAGGAGAGUGUGGGGGGCAUCUCCAUUGAUUAGAGCUGCCAGUGAGAAAGUGGCCGAGGAAUAUGAAUGCAGCAUGUAACUGUCAGCAGUGACUGUGCUGCUGUGGAAUCUGCAGACCUGGAUCACCUGCAGCUGAGCCUGCCACCCUUACAGCAGCACCCUCUUCUGAGUCUAGCAAUCCAAUAUCCUUCCCACUCAGGACUCUUGUACUCUUCCUUCCCAAGUAAUUCUAGGAACCAGAACGCCUAGCACUGAGUUGUGCUGACUUCCAAGGAGCUGAAGGUUCUCUGGAUUUGGGGUGAUAGGAGGUGUCUUGGGAUAAGUAAAUGUGGACUUCCCAUGUAUGGCCCGUACCCACCAGAAUCCAGGUCGAGAGACCGUGGAAGAAGGUUCAAUGGAGGGAAAGGCCGUCUGCAGGGGCAUUUCUGUCAUGUUGCCCCAUUACCUCCGCCCCCCAAAAUGCCACCAUGGGCCAGCUGAAAUCUCUGAUCACAGUAGACUCUCUGGUGGGGGUAUCCGUUGCCCUUUGUUCCCUGAGAGGUUUGAGAUGGGGUUGGAAUUCAGACAUUUAAUUUUUUAAUUGAUUUCAGAGAGGGAGAAAAAACAUCGAUUUGUUGUUCCACUUACUCAUGCAUUCACUGGUUGAUUCUUGUAUGUACCCUGAUUGGGGACCAAAUCUGCAACCUUGGAGUAUCCGAGGAUGCUCUAACCAGCUGAGCUACCAGCCAGGACUGGAAUUCAAACAUUUUGACAACUCACUUCUGAUCUCCCAUGGACCAACUAACUUGUGGGAAGAUGACACUGCUCAGUGCACUCUACAAGACAAACCAGCAGUUGACACCAAUGGGCCUUAGAAGACCUCAUGAUAUCCCUCUGAUAGAAAGUAAGAUACCUAAAGCGGGGAAAUGAGGAGAGGGGAGGGGAGGAGGGCAAGUGUAGCCUUCAUUAAAGAUGGUGUUUGGGGAGGGGCACAGUCAGGAAAAGAUGUAACAGAGUGCUGAAGCAAGGGAACCUGAUUCUUUUUCUGAGCAGCGAGUAGAGCUUUCCCAUUUCCCAGGCCGGGAAAGCAGGGGCUGGAGAACUGGAGGAGCCCAAGGUGCAGUAUGCACGGAAGCCAGCUAGUACCCAUAAACACCUCUUAAGGGUGAUACUGGGAGUGGGAUACAGGAGCCAACCAGCAUCCUGAGGGAGGGUGUCCAGCCAGAAGGCAGGUGGUGCCCCACACACACACACCAGCAACGCCCAUCAAUAUGCAGGAGGUGCUGGCAGCUCAGGGUGUGCACUGGGGACAGUGGUAGCUGCCACUCUUGGUCAGUGUUGGCCAGGGAGAGGCAGGUAUGUGGUCUGUAAGUCGCCACCGAAACAGUAUGUUCAAGGCCACCCAGUCCCUAGUGUGGUCCUCAUCUAUGUGCCAUAGGCCAAUGUGCGAAGUGGCAGGGACAAAAAAGCCACCGGCAGGCCCCUCCCUUUCCAUCUGGGUGCUGCUUUUAGGAGCAGGGAGUGCCUUUCCUGGCCUGGAGCCUUUUCCCAUAGGUUUGAUUUGAAACUCCUCCUUUCCACUCCCCAUCAGCCAAGCCACCUGGCAACACCCUGUCCUGUGAAAUCACAGCUGCUGUCGGAGAGCAGCUCCUUAAAUGGUGAAGAUAAAGCAGGAAGCAGCAGGGAUCUCAGUGCCUGGGUUCUGGGUAAGCAGCAGAGGUAGAUGGGUUGGUAAUCAAUGCCAGGUGACUUAGCCUGCUGGGUACAAAAAGAGCCUGGAGUCAAAUUGGCCUAAUCAGUUGCCCUAGCAACACUGCCCUUGUCCUUACCAGGACGAGAUUUAUUCUAGCCUGUUGCCCUGGUAACUUAAUGGCUCCCCAGGGACAGGAAAUGGCAGAACCUCAGCUCUGCUGGGUGAGAACACUUCUCCAACCACAGGGGUCCACCUGUGCACCCCUCUGCAGGUGCAGGACAGCCAUGGGUGGGGGUGGAGAGGAAUCCAGAGGCAGUGGCUGCAGAACUAAGGCCAGGCUGUUCCAUGUGCCCCUCCCGCCUCCAUUCAGUUUCCUGCUCCACUGUGGAGUGAUGCAGGGAUAGCGCCACACAUUUAGCCCCUCCAUCAGUCCUCUCCCACCAUGGCCUGACCUGCACCUGCUUCCUCACCCACAGAUGACCUGCUGAAGGACAGAACCAAACCAGAGGGUGGUCUGCAGAGCAUGGUCAUAGCAAUGGUCAGGGACUUGGUCAGAAACCUGGUGGGAGCCCUACGGUGUAUGUGCGUGGGGCUCCGAUUUACAACUACCAGGCAGGGCCAUGCAGGGCUGCCCCAGGGGUUAGGGCAGGACGAACACAGCUCAGUCAUUUAGACGUUUUCUAUCCGGUGAGGGAUUUUUCCAUUCUUUGCCACCUGGAGAGAGGAAGCCAAGCUGCCAAGGGCAGCUGUAGUCCUAGUCUUGGCAUGUGCCUGGGGAGCUCGACUUCUCUGCCGUGG